AUGGUUGAGUUUGAGUGUUUUAAUGGAUAUCACUUAGUUCUUGACUUAAAAUGAUCUCUAGACACAUAUGGGGAACUCAGCCAAUGGUACAAAACCCAAAUAUCGACAUUCAUAGUGAAACUGUGCUGUGCAAGAAACCAAAUGCCUGAGAUGCUGCAUUAGCCACCACUGCCAACACAUGUUAAAAGGUUGUCAACUGGGAUUCCAAACAUCAAAUUCUAAACGAUAUUACGAUUGAAUGUGAAACCAAUUUUUAGGAAUAACGGAUCCGCUGCCACUGCACAAAAACAAAUUACAUCAGGUUCUGCAAGCUUGGCACCCUAAAUAUUAAACUGAACUUAAGAUGCAUGCCAUCUUUCUAUAUUAAAUGUGCAAGACCUACAAAUAACCCAACUGAAGGUGGAGAACUCCAAAAGUGGGAAAUGUGCCAAAGUUGAUGCUUACAGGUUUAAAACUGGGAGUGCACUUCAUUUAGCAUUCCUAUUCAACUCAAAAUCAUGCAUGUACCAGCGGUCCCCGCCCUGGUCAAGGGGAGAAAAAAAAGAAAAGCAUAUUGGGAAACACACUUAACACAAUGACCUUAAAUUCUGUUGGAAUGUGCUAGUGGCACAAAAUUUCACCACCCAACUAUUAAAAGUCCAAUAACUCAAGAGUGCAUUGGUACCCACCCACUUUUCCCAGUGGAGUUAGGCCUAGACUACUCAUUUAAAGUUGAAAAAUCUUAAGUUUAUUGCAGAAUAUGCAAACAAGUAUUUGCAAUGUGUCAAAGUGUUCCCUGUAGAGUUUUUGGCACAGCUCAGAUUGGUGAAAUUUACACCAUCAUGGGUAGUGUAGUUAUCCACAAGGAACUCCACUUUGAAACAAUUCUUUAAAAAAACAGAGUUUGUAGGAGGUCUAACUUUAGGGUUACGUUAGACCCCCAUUACAUUUUUCCCCUUCCAGACCCUGAAAGGCUACUGUACAAAUAUCAAUUUCCCAGCAUGUUUUCAGGUCAAAACUGGUUGAUAAUCUACACAAGAAAAAACAAACCAGAAACAAGGGUAGGUUUCUCAAAUUUAUUGAAAACCAGGUAAAGUCUUCCAUCGCUCUCGAACCGUUAUGGGACCAAGUGAAGCCUUGCCUUCCCACUGAACACCUAGAAGGGAAAGAGAAGAAAAAAAAAGAAAAAAAAAAAAAAAAAAAAAAAAAAAAAAAGCAUAUUUAAAAUGAUAUACAGUUUUUUGUAACUUCCGCUGUAAACGGUCCAUAAUGUACUUAAAGUGCUCUAUUUCGCAC
rnacentral:lncRNA from 1 species